GGUGCCCAGACACAUGCCAAGCACGGAGUCUCCCAGAACAUUACUGGCUGACAGAGGCAUCUCUCACCCUUUUCGGAUAUCAAAGUUAUUUGUGCCCUGCCCUCAGGGCAAAGUAGUUUUGCGGGAAGUAUCAGGAAAGCAAUCUAAGCCUUAAAAUAGAAAGGCAUACCCAAGGGAACACCUUUCUCAAGGGUGGAAAGCAACUCUUUAAUUAAAGAGGGGGAGAGCAAGAAGUAGCAAUCUCCUCCUUUAAUGCAUCAACACAUAUAGUAUGUGCAAUAUGGGUAACAAAACUCUUGUGGGGACACAUUCAAGGUUGACCAAUUCCAAAUUAAAUCCACCUUAAAAUGACUGAAGCAGUUUUUGGUGUAUUGUCCCCUUCCCACAUGGCAUGGCAGCUUCUUUCCUGAGUAGCAUAGGGAAAACACAAGCUCUGCCUGGAGGAGGAUGAUGGAGCUGGAGUGAAACAGUGCUUGAAAGCUGCCUCAUCUCCCUUGUAUGCAGAGGUGCCUGAGUACAUGCUAACUUGUUUCUACCUGAUGUGUAAAUCAAGUAAAUCUGUGGGUCAUAAAAGAUGAUAAUUUCUACCCAAACAGAAGGUGAAAAAGGUGCAAGAUGGGCUCUAGCACAAAUACAUUGGCUAACAUUGCUCGAAAAGAAGAUUCACAAAUUUUAAGUCCUUGGUGAUACCCACCUUGGAAACAAUUUAACAGCCAGUCCUAUUUUAUUUCCAAUACCAGCUUAUGUUCUCUUGGAGAUAUGUGUGCCCUGGGAGCCUGGGCUUGCUGCUGUUCCAGGAGCUCCAGCAUCAAAGAAGUUACUUCUGUCUUUUUCUUUCCACUCCAGGAAGCUCAUAGCACUUAGUGCCUCAAAUCCCACACACCAGGCUUCCCUCCAGCAGCUUUCCUGCUUGCCAGGGCUACUGCAUUUUGCUCCAUCCAACCUGGGACCUUGAGGUGGUAGGUGUGCCUGGGGAUCUGUGGCUAACCCACUUCUGCAUUUCUAGGGUCCUGUCCACAAAGGCAUAUGUGAAAGUCUGGCAUCCACAAAUUUCUGUGGCAAUGAGCCUUACAGCUUAAUUACACCCUGUGUAAAGAGGGUGUCUCCUUUUGACGCAAAACCUCCUACCCACAGCCGUGUUUGCUGGGCACUGCUGAGACAUCAUUCCCGCCGGCAGCGCGCCGACAGAGCGGUUCCAGAGGGGUCGCGGCUCCCGCAGCAAAGCUUUGUGCCACCGCCGCAGCUCUGCUCUCUUUUGGCUCACGCAGCACGUGCAAAAGCUGCUUUGUGGGACAGCUGCAGGUUCAGCUUGGGCUUCUGUCAGCACAGCAGGGUCAGGUCACUUUUCAUCUCCGAGCACUGUGAACUUUCAUGUGUCAAAGUCCUAUUGCAGAUAAGACUGUUGUGAUUUUCAUGCGAGCAAACUUAUGAUAAAUUAAAAAAACCCAAACCAACUGAUUUCUCAUCUUAAUAACAGUGUGAACUUUUUACCCAACUGUAUAUCCCACUGGCUUUAUAAAGUGAUACAGUUUUACAUAACCACAGAGUCAGGACCAAAAAGCCUCUUAGCUAAACGUUGCUAAAUUAGAGAGUCUAUAAAAAUCCCAGACUGGGAAAGAAAUCACAGGUUGCAGACAGGCCUCCUCCAGGUAGCCCUGAAGUCUCACUGGUCUGUGGUAGUUUCCUACGGUGAUUCAUUAGGGCAAUGUUUUCUUAAGAGUUUUGUCGGGAUUUGCAGCAGUGCUGGAUUUGAAGAGCUCCAUCCUUGCAGUAUCAGACUGUGAAGAUCAGAAUCUCAAUGUUUAGCUACCACAGCUGUUCCCUUGCCUGAAAGAUCCAUGCACAAGGUGUUAUCAUUUCAUGUGAUGAUGUUC